UGUUGUUUGAGCUAGAUAAAAAGCCGCGCAAUUGAAAAAAGAAGUCAUACGACUUCAUUUAAUUGAAUUAAUUUAUUUGUUUAAGAUUCAAUCAGCAAUUAUAAAAAAAAAAUGCCCCGGCUAUAUCAGUUCUUAUUUUUACUCGCUCUGGUUGCGUUGGCUGCUGCCGGUUGCGAAACAUGGAUGGGAUCUUGUACUGCCAAUUCCGACUGUUGCGAUGGCUAUUGUGGGCCUCAAACUAAAUAUUGGCAAUUUCCCCA